AACGAACGCUGGCGGCAUGCCUAACACAUGCAAGUCGAACGAGACCUUCGGGUCUAGUGGCGCACGGGUGCGUAACGCGUGGGAACCUGCCCUUAGGUUCGGAAUAACUCCCCGAAAGGGGUGCUAAUACCGGAUAAUGUCUUCGGACCAAAGAUUUAUCGCCUUUGGAUGGGCCCGCGUUGGAUUAGCUAGUUGGUAGGGUAAAAGCCUACCAAGGCGACGAUCCAUAGCUGGUCUGAGAGGAUGAUCAGCCACGCUGGGACUGAGACACGGCCCAGACUCCUACGGGAGGCAGCAGUGGGGAAUAUUGGACAAUGGGCGAAAGCCUGAUACAGCAAUGCCGCGUGAGUGAUGAAGGCCUUAGGGUUGUAAAGCUCUUUUACCCGGGAUGAUAAUGACAGUACCGGGAGAAUAAGCACCGGCUAACUCCGUG
rnacentral:rRNA from 1 species